ensembl:ncRNA F14B8.11 ncRNA
UAAAUGCAUCUUUGCAUAACCUGAAAUGGUCAUUUCUUGUUAAAUAUCACAAAACAGACAAACGUAAUUGAAUCUCGAAAAAUGAAAUCGAAAAGAGGGUGAAAAGUAACCCGAGUAUAGACUGGGUGAAAUCAAUCAUUUGAAAAAGAACGACAAAAAGUGACAGCUGAACGGUUUACGGCAU